GAUGAACGCUAGCUACAGGCUUAACACAUGCAAGUCGAGGGGCAGCAUGCUGGUAGCUUGCUACCAGUGAUGGCGACCGGCGCACGGGUGAGUAACGCGUAUCCAACCUUCCCAUGACCAGGGAAUAACCUUGCGAAAGUAAGACUAAUGCCCUAUGGUUUCCUCAGCGGACAUCCAAAGAGGAAUAAAGAUUCAUCGGUGAUGGAUGGGGAUGCGUCUGAUUAGGUUGUUGGCGGGGUAACGGCCCACCAAAGCGACGAUCAGUAGCCGACCUGAGAGGGUGACCGGCCACAUUGGGACUGAGACACGGCCCAAACUCCUACGGGAGGCAGCAGUGGGGAAUAUUGCACAAUGGGGGAAACCCUGAUGCAGCGACGCCGCGUGAGCGAAGAAGUAUUUCGGUAUGUAAAGCUCUAUCAGCAGGGAANAUAGUGACGGUACCUGACUAGGAAGCCCCGGCUAACUACGUGCCAG
rnacentral:rRNA from 1 species